rnacentral:rRNA from 1 species
GCUGGCGGCGCGCCUAACACAUGCAAGUCGAACGAGAGAUGAGGAGCUCGCUCUUCAAAUCGAGCGGCGAACGGGUGAGUAACGCGUGAGGAACCUGCCUCAAAGAGGGGGACAACAGUUGGAAACGACUGCUAAUACCGCAUAAGCCCACGGCUCGGCAUCGAGCAGGGGGAAAAGGAGCAAUCCGCUUUGGGAUGGCCUCGCGUCCGAUUAGCUAGUUGGUGAGGUAACGGCCCACCAAGGCGACGAUCGGUAGCCGGACUGAGAGGUUGAACGGCCACAUUGGGACUGAGACACGGCCCAGACUCCUACGGGAGGCAGCAGUGGGGAAUAUUGCACAAUGGGGGAAACCCUGAUGCAGCGACGCCGCGUGGAGGAAGAAGGUCUUCGGAUUGUAAACUCCUGUUGUUGAGGAAGAUAAUGACGGUACUCAACAAGGAAGUGACGGCUAACUACGUGCCAGCAGCCGCGGUAAAACGUAGGUCACAAGCGUUGUCCGGAAUUACUGGGUGUAAAGGGAGCGCAGGCGGGAGAACAAGUUGGAAGUGAAAUCCAUGGGCUCAACCCAUGAACUGCUUUCAAAACUGUUUUUCUUGAGUAGUGCAGAGGUAGGCGGAAUUCCCGGUGUAGCGGUGGAAUGCGUAGAUAUCGGGAGGAACACCAGUGGCGAAGGCGGCCUACUGGGCACCAACUGACGCUGAGGCUCGAAAGUGUGGGUAGCAAACAGGAUUAGAUACCCUGGUAGUCCACACCGUAAACGAUGAUUACUAGGUGUUGGAGGAUUGACCCCUUCAGUGCCGCAGUUAACACAAUAAGUAAUCCACCUGGGGAGUACGACCGCAAGGUUGAAACUCAAAGGAAUUGAC